GGCUGAAACCCGCCUCCGUGAAGUUGGAUUCGCUAGUAAUCGCGCAUCAGCCAUGGCGCGGUGAAUACGUUCCCGGGCCUUGUACACACCGCCCGUCAAGCCAUGGAAGCUGGGGGUGCCUGAAGUUCGUGACCGCAAGGAGCGACCUAGGGCAAAACCGGUGACUGGGGCUAAGUCGUAACAAGGUAAC
rnacentral:rRNA from 1 species